rnacentral:rRNA from 1 species
GCUCCUUUGACGUUAGCGGCGGACGGGUGAGUAACACGUGGGUAACCUACCUAUAAGACUGGGAUAACUUCGGGAAACCGGAGCUAAUACCGGAUAACAUUUGGAACCGCAUGGUUCUAAAGUGAAAGAUGGUUUUGCUAUCACUUAUAGAUGGACCCGCGCCGUAUUAGCUAGUUGGUAAGGUAACGGCUUACCAAGGCGACGAUACGUAGCCGACCUGAGAGGGUGAUCGGCCACACUGGAACUGAGACACGGUCCAGACUCCUACGGGAGGCAGCAGUAGGGAAUCUUCCGCAAUGGGCGAAAGCCUGACGGAGCAACGCCGCGUGAGUGAUGAAGGGUUUCGGCUCGUAAAACUCUGUUAUUAGGGAAGAACAAAUGUGUAAGUAACUGUGCACGUCUUGACGGUACCUAAUCAGAAAGCCACGGCUAACUACGUGCCAGCAGCCGCGGUAAUACGUAGGUGGCAAGCGUUAUCCGGAAUUAUUGGGCGUAAAGCGCGCGUAGGCGGUUUCUUAAGUCUGAUGUGAAAGCCCACGGCUCAACCGUGGAGGGUCAUUGGAAACUGGGAAACUUGAGUGCAGAAGAGGAAAGUGGAAUUCCAUGUGUAGCGGUGAAAUGCGCAGAGAUAUGGAGGCACACCAGUGGCGAAGGCGACUUUCUGGUCUGUAACUGACGCUGAUGUGCGAAAGCGUGGGGAUCAAACAGGAUUAGAUACCCUGGUAGUCCACGCCGUAAACGAUGAGUGCUAAGUGUUAGGGG